rnacentral:tRNA from 1 species
GGAUUGUGGCUCAGUGGUGGAGCACUCACCUAGAACGGGCGGGACCCAGGUUCAAUCCCCAGCACCA